GAUGAACGCUGGCGGCGUGCCUAAUACAUGCAAGUCGAGCGAACAGACGAGGAGCUUGCUCCUCUGACGUUAGCGGCGGACGGGUGAGUAACACGUGGAUAACCUACCUAUAAGACUGGGAUAACUUCGGGAAACCGGAGCUAAUACCGGAUAAUAUAUUGAACUGCAUGGUUCAAUAGUGAAAGACGGUUUUGCUGUCACUAAUAGAUGGAUCCGCGCCGCAUUAGCUAGUUGGGAAGGUAACGGCUUACCAAGGCAACGAUGCGUAGCCGCCCUCAGAGGGAGAUCGGCCAGACUGGAACUGAGACACGGUCCAGACUCCGACGGUGGGAAGCAGUAGGGAAUCUUCCGCAAUGGGGGAGAGCCUGACGGUGCAACGCCGCGGGAGUGAUGAAGGUCUUCGGAUCGUAAAACUCUGUUAGUAGGGAAGAACAAAUGUGUAAGUAACUAUGCACGUCUUGACGGUACCUAAUCAGAAAGCCACGGCUAACUACGUG
rnacentral:rRNA from 1 species